UACGUAGGGGGCAAGCGUUGUCCGGAAUCAUUGGGCGUAAAGAGCGCGUAGGCGGCCCUGUAAGUCCGCUGUGAAAGUCAAGGGCUCAACCCUUGAAUGCCGGUGGAUACUGCAGGGCUAGAGUCCGGAAGAGGCGAGUGGAAUUCCUGGUGUAGCGGUGAAAUGCGUAGAGAUCGGGAGGAACACCAGUGGCGAAGGCGGCUACCUGGACCAGCACUGACACUGAGGCACGAAAGCGUGGGGAGCAAACAGG
rnacentral:rRNA from 1 species